UACGUAGGGUGCGAGCGUUGUCCGGAAUUAUUGGGCGUAAAGGGCUCGUAGGCGGUUUGUCGCGUCGGGUGUGAAAUCCACUGGCUUAACUGGUGGCUUGCUUUCGAUACGGGCAGACUGGAGGUAUGCAGGGGAGAACGGAAUUCCUGGUGUAGCGGUGAAAUGCGUAGAUAUCUGGAGGAACACCGGUGGCGAAGGCGGCGUUCUGGACUGCAACUGACACUGAUGAACGAAAGCCAGGGGAGCAAACGGG
rnacentral:rRNA from 1 species